GAAAGACGUUUCUGAACGGGCGCCGGGCGCUACCAUCUCAGCCCUCCGUCCACGCGGUUCCUGGGCUGCAGCCCAUGGGGCUUCGUCUCCCAACCACAGGGCUCCACAACCCAAGUUAGAACAAAACACCUUCUCUUGCAGGAAUGUGAAUCUGGAAUAGACACGCCCAGGGACGGGAGGCAGUUGGCGUGACCGCCACCAGAGGGCCAACACAUCGCCUGGUUUGUGGUGGGUGCUGAGUCGCUCCUGGUUUGGCUUCAUCUGACCAUGGGCAGAGUCAUUUGUCUGUAACGGAAGAGGUCACCUCUGUCCCGGUCUGUGCUUGUGACCAGGAGUUGGUGCAGAAACCCAAGCGAGCAGAGUCAGUGUGCUCUGAGGACAGUUGGAGAAACUCUUCCAAGGUGUCCAGUGAAGGCUGGCUUCUAAAAACACCCACUAGGACGCGGCCGAAGUGGGGAGUGUCGGCAAGGGCCUCAGAGCGACAUGCUCCGUGUCUGUGGUCGGCCGGGGGGACCUUGUGCAAGAGAGAGAGAGAGAGAGAGAGUGCGCGCACCUGCCAAGCAGCCCGUCAUCUGUCUGCCAGAGCAAAGUGGGCUCGAGGACAGGCUACCGUGAGGUCUGCCCUCUGCAGGUACACCAGGAGCCCAGGUCCCAUAGAGGGGACUGGCGUGCAGAUUUCAUAUGUGACGUUUCCGGGAUGAUGGUCUGCUCUCUGCUUUUCAGGACAUGAGGCCAGGGAAGCCCUUUGUGUGUGUUUAAUUCUGCAUCUCAGGACCCAUCGAGAAGGUCAGGAAGGGCCUCAUCAUGGGCAUGACGAGGAUAGCAUUUUGCUGGGACAGAUGUCUUCUGGGGAAAUUCGCC
rnacentral:lncRNA from 1 species